AGAAAUGUUUUUCUAGGAUGCUCCACACAUGUGCACUGAAGGGGAGUUAGUGUUCAACUGAUGCUGUUAGCAUUAUGAAGAAAUGCUGAUCCUGACAGACACUUUGAUGUGCUAAACUGAAUCCCAGCAGGCACAGCUACCAAGAGGAGCCCUGCAAAAACACGACAAACAGUUUCUUCUGGACUCUCCCUGCCACCCAGGACUCAGAGCUCAAACACAUCUUUGCCUUGUGGUAGCACCCCCUCUCCGAUCACACACAGCCCUUCUCAGAGGGAAGGAGAGGCUCAGAGAACAGCAUCUGCACCUCAGCAAAAGUGCAUGUCCCCCUCUGCUUCCCCACAUAAUACUUUGGAAGAUUGAAGGGUGCUGGCCACAAGCCUGAGAAGAUUGAGCUUGUCCCCUCACACCACUAAUGAGAGCAUACCAAUCAACACCGUGGCUAAUUGGCUCCUCAGUCCACUGCUUCACCUUCCUGGCAGAUCUUUGAGGGUGAAAAAUUCCAGCAUUUUCAAGUUCACCUGAUUGCUGACUUCCCAAGGAAGAAGAUGUGAAGACAGAGGAGAGAGGAGCAGGACUCCCUUUAAGUGACAGGUCCUGGUCAGCCUAAUUGUGGAAGGUUUCAUUGCAAGAAUUGAAUGCUGAUCGAACCGAACCGCCCCAGCUGAGUGAAGCGUG